rnacentral:rRNA from 1 species
CUUAUGAAGAGUUUGAUCCUGGCUCAGAGCGAACGCUGGCGGCACGCCUAACACAUGCAAGUCGAGCGAGAAAGUGACUUCGGUCGCGAGUAAAGCGGCGAACGGGUGAGUACAACGUGGAUAAUCUACCCUAGGGUCUGGGACAACCCCGAGAAAUCGGGGCUAAUACCGGAUAAGACCACAGUAUCCAAGGAUACAGCGGUAAAAGAUUUAUCGCCUUUGGAUGAGUCCACGCCCCAUCAGGUAGUUGGUAAGGUAAAGGCUUACCAAGCCUAAGACGGGUAGCCGGCCUUAGCGGGUGAACGGCCACAUGGGGACUGAGACACGGCCCUGACUCCUACGGGAGGCAGCAGUGGGGAAUAUUGGGCAAUGGGCGAAAGCCUGACCCAGCGAUGCCGCGUGAGGGAUGAAGGCCUUCGGGUUGUAAACCUCUGUCAGGAGGGACGAUGGGACACUUGUGUCUUGACGGUACCUCCAGAGGAAGCCCCGGCUAACUCCGUGCCAGCAGCCGCGGUAAUACGGAGGGGGCAA